rnacentral:lncRNA from 1 species
AGUGCAGUGGUGUGAUCUUGGCUCACUGCAAGCUCCGCCUCCCAGGUUCAUGCCAUCCUCCUGCCUCAGCCUCCCGAGUAGCUGGGACCACAGGCAUGCACCACCAUGCCCGGCUAAUUUUUGUAUUUUUGGUAGAGACAGGGUUUCACCACGUUGGCCAGGCUGGUCUCAAACUCCUAGGGUUCAGAGGCUUGGGAUGGUAAUACUCACUUGAUAUUUCACUUCAGUAACACACCCUUUCUCUCUCCAGUCCACAGAAUCAGGCAAUAUCCGAUUAGGGUUUGACUUAUAUGUGAUAUUUCUCUGCCACUGGCUGGGAACUCUCAGGGAACUCAUCAAAGACAUCACUUCUUCACUGGUCUACAAAGCAAAUAUACAGUCAGGCAUUGUUUAAUGACUGGAAUAUGUUCUGAGAAAUGCAU